GAUUGAGACCGCAAGCUGGAAGUGUGCAGACCAUCAAGGGCUAGCAAUUUUUUCAUUCAGCAUGAAAAUACCUCUCUCUUCAAGCUGUAGGACAACUAAAAGAAGUCAGAGGAGUCCACCUAAAAAUAAAGCUAAGAGAUGCCUAAGCAAACUCCUCUGCCUCUCAAACUCAAGUCAGUGGAAGAACAAUAUAAACUGUGAUGUUGGGGCCAUGGAUGAAAAUUUCGGAAGAUGGAGAAGUGCAGGCAAACUAAUCAUGUACAUGGAAGUGUUUGAAUGGUAACCUGGAAGCCAAGGUAAGGGACUAUGCAGGAUCCCACAUCGCAUCGAGCCAUCAUAUCUCCUUAGUCUCCUGCAAUCUGUGAAGUUUCUCGAUCUCCUUGGAGUAGAGUGAAUUGGGUCUUCCAGAAAGAUAUGUCCAAGCCCUAACCCCUGGUUCCUGUGAAUGUGAUCUUUAUUUGGAAAUAGAGUCUUUACAGAUGUAAUUAAGUUAAGGAUCUCAGGAUAAGAUCAUUUUGGAUUGAGGGUGGGCCCUAAAUCCAAUGACUGCCGUCCUGAUAGGAGAAAGGAGAGGAAGAUUUGAGACACAGAAAUAUAAGAAAGAAGGCCACGUGAAGACAGAGGCUGGGAUUGGAGAGAUGCUGCCCCAAGCCAAGCAACACCAGGAGCCACCAGAUGCUGGAAGAAGCGAGGAAGGAUUCUUCCUACAGCCUUUGGAAGGAGGAGACCCUGUUGACACUUGAAUUUCAGACUUCUAGCCUCCUAAAUUAUGAAAGAAUGAAUAUGUGCUAUUUUAAGCCACCAAGAUUGUGGUAAUUUGUUGUGGCAGCCUGGAAAAAUGAAUACAAAAACCUUGACAACUUUGAAGAGUGUUGCUAGGUAUUUUGUAAAAUGUCCACUGGUUUGGGUUUGUCUGAUAUUUUCUCAUGAUUAUACUGUGGUUAUGGAUUUUGGGAAAGAAUACCAGACUGGUGAAGGGUGUAUCAUAUCAGAGGGUAUGUGAUAUCAACAUGAGUGGUGAUGUUGACCAUGGUCACUUAGUUAAGGUAGUGUUUGUCAAGUUCCUCUACUGUAAAGUGACUAUUUUUUUUUUCAUGCUCUACUUAUUAGAGGCAAGUCACUGAGUCCACCCAGACUCAAGGGGUCCACCUUCUAUAACUUUGCAUUCUACUUUGAAUCCUGGACCUGACACACAUUCAUUUUAAAUAUUCCUGGAAUGUUUUCAAAAAUUGUUCAUAGCUUAGGCUUUUAAAAAAAACUAUUAAUUCCAGUUAAUAGAAGUUUCACAGGCCACAUUCACUUACCACAAUGAAAUAAAACUAUAAAUCAAUAAUAAAAGAACAAAUAACAUAUAAAAAACUGAGCAUUCAAGAUACUGUCCUACAAUACUUUUUGUCAAUGAAGAAAUGAAAAGUGUAAUUAUUGGCUAUUUAAAUAAAUAACUAUAAUGUCAAGACUAUAUGUCCAAAAUUAAGGAAUGAAGUCAAGUUACACACAGGAAGAAAUUAAUGAUGGUAAAUAUUUGUAUUAUUAAGCAAAGAAAAGAGGGGCGCCUGGGUGGCUCAGUUGGUUGGGUGGCUCAGUUGGUUAGGCGGCUGCCUUUGGCUUAGGUCAUGAUCCCAGGGUCCUGGGAUCGAAUCACGCAUAGGGCUCCCUGCUCGUUGGGAAGCCUGCUUCUCCCUCUCCCUCUGCCUGCCACUCCCCCUGCUU